GCGCGACUUUACAUACACGAAAGUGUGAUAAGGGAACCCCAAGUGCUCAUGUAAAGCAUGGGCUUUUGCCGAGAGUAAAUACCUCGGAGAAUAAGUGGUGGGCAAGACUGGUGCCAGCAGCCGCGGUAACACCAGCGCCACGAGUAGCAUCCGGCAUUAUUGGGCCUAAAGCGUUCGUAGCCGGCUAGGUAAAUCUUUUGUGAAAUUGUUAAGCUCAACUUAACAGCAUGCAGAAGACACUGCUUAACUAGGGACCGGGAGGAGUUGGAGGUAUUUCGGGGGGACCGGUAAAAUGGGAUAAUCCCUGGAGGACCACCUGUGGCGAAGGCGUCCAACUAGAACGGCUCCGACGGUGAGGAACGAAAGCCAGGGGAGCAAAACGGAUUAGAUACGAGAAGUCUUCAAAAGUUAGACUUCUGGAAUUAGCUCGUAAUUUUGCAGUAAUAUCUACUUUAUGGGUUAAGGAAAGAAGUUGUGUUAUGUAGGCUUACUCGCUAAUUACCCGAGUAGUCCUGGCUGUAAACUCUGCGAGCUAGGUGUUGCGUAUUCUACGAGAAUACGCAGUGUCGUAGCGAAGGUGUUAAGCUCGCCGCCUGGGAAGUACGGUCGCAAGGCUGAAACUUAAAGGAAUUGGCGGGGGAGCACCGGGGCAGCAGGCGCGAGCGAACAGCGAAACAGACGGGGAGGAUAGGAAUUGGCGGGGGAGCACAAGCCGAAUUCC
rnacentral:rRNA from 1 species